UGUAUUUGUGGAUAAUCUAAGCACUAUACCCAGAUGUACAAACACUCUUUUUUCCUAAUCUAUGUAUUAUAUAAUUUUUUUUAACAUUAGGUUUAAUAAAAAUGUUAUACACUGUCAAAGGUACACUACCCCAUGGCUUCUAGAGAUCUCGCCCGCCUCAAGCACUGUGCCUCUGAGUGUUUCUACACUUUUGCAGCUCUGUCUCACAACCAUCCCCCUGUUACUGGCAGCAGCAGGGAGCCACAAUCUAGGCCUUUGAUUUAUACAGCAGCUCAGAUUGGCUAUGUUAGCGACUUCAAUUUCUCUCUGUCACUGCUAUGUAUCUAGGACUUAGUUUCUGUAUUCUCUGUUCCAUUUCUCAUUGCUACAGGUUCUUUAACCACUGGAUGCCUCUUUGUGUUUUCCAGCAUUCAAGCAAUAAAUUGGCACUGGGGCCUGGUUUUAAAUCUCUUGCUUUCAGAACAUCUUUUGCUUCAUUUACACCUGCAAAUACCAAUCACUAAAAGAGCCGAUGGCCUGAAUAUGAAAACAUUAUCAUAGGUAUCAGAGGAGAUGCUAUAGCUGAAGAGAACAUCUGAUGCUAACGUUCUUUUAUAAGCCACAAGUGGCAUCUUUGAAAUAUGGAGAGCUGGGGUCUGGCUUGUAUUGGGAAAAUUGUAGCAAUGAGGAGGGUUAUAUAUAAUUUGAAACAUCAUGUGCAACAAUAUAACAAUCUCAAUUGAUGGGGUUUUAUGCCUUUGAAUCCGUUUUGUUUUUCUGAAAUGAUUUUUUGGUCGUUUUCAUGAUAUGUGCAGUGGAAAGAUUUACUGCCAGAAAAGAAAGGGAAACUUGUGCAGUUAAUCAGACUAUAGGGACCCUCAGACCCUUUCUUCUCCCGACUCCCUUUGUCUUUCUCAACCCUUUUCUUUCCCUUUUGGGAUUUGACUAGCCUGAGAGUUAUAAAGAAAGAAUAUGUGUAUAUGUUCUUUUCUUCUAUAACACCAUUCCCCACUCUCUCCAUGUAUAAUGACCAAAGAAUAUAAAUGUCAAAUGAAUCCAGACAGAAUGUUUCAGUUGUCUGUUAUGUACAUGCUGCAUAAAUUAAUGACAGAUGCCUUUUUCUCUCCCCCAAAACAGAUGUUGUCAUUUUCCCUUUGAAGCAUCUCUUUUUGGAUCCCUGAAAUGCUUUUUUGCUUUGAUAAUUGCCAGUGAACAAACAUGCCUAUAGCUGGAGGGAAAAGAAAGAGAGGUUGAAUAGGUUGAUUUUGGAUUAUAUGACUGCUAAGGAACCGUCUCCUUCUCUGAUAUAAUUUGUAAUACUAAGAUUUGAAGAGAAAAUGGGAGAGAUGAACACAUAUGUACAUUGAACAAAGACGGACUUUAAGGACACAACUGAAAUAUGGUUGAUACUCUGUAUGUAUGAUAAUUAAAGCCCUUUGUAUCCCAUGAUUCUCUAGCUAUGGAAUUUGCUAUAGAUCCACCUGAAAGGAUAACUCUGAGAGGUGUGAACUGUCCCAAGCAUCUCAAUGGGAUUGUUAACUUUUAAACCUGCUCUGCAAAGAUCCGGUGACCUUGCUGCAGACUUUAGUUCCAGCUUAGUAUGGGAUAUACAGAGCCCUAUGAACUACAGCCAACAGUUGGAGAUGACAGCCUCUUCGAUCCAAGGGUUUCAGAUAGGGAACUGCUCAGAGGAGUAUGUUGUUAUAGACUAUUUGAUCAGAACAACGGGUCUAUGAAGUUUAAAAAAUCAUUAAAAAUCAAGUAAUCUUUAAGUAGAGUAAAUAAACAUUUAAAUAGCUAAAAAAUGUAAUGCAUGUUUUAAUCAGAACAUGAAAUAUUCUCUAUAGAACAAAGAAAAUAUGAAAUAAAGAAAAGAUAACUGUGAAUUUGAGGGCUAUCAUCCCACCAAGAGGGUCUGACGCUCCUCCUUUUCCCUUUCUCCAACAGCUGCCUCUCCAUUCUUCUUAAACUAACACUAGAACAGAGUAGCUUACUAUCCUGCUUUGGCUGUAUUUCCUUCACCUUUCAUAACUGUGGCUCCUCUUUCUCCACUGAAGUGUUCUUUAACUUCUUCAGUGACCUCUCUGCUACUAGAGCAGCUCUUGCUUUGUUCUCUAGUGGCUCUUCAUUAGUUGGAGGAAUCCCACAGUACCUGCACGUAAUUACAAGAGUUUUCUCCUUGUGCUUAGCACUGUAAUCCAUUUACUGGGCUGUGUUUAUAUACUGUGCAACUUUCUGAAGUAUGCUGGGGAUGGUUUCUGUACAUGUCAGACUCGAUUACCUGGGAAUCAGGUCUUCAUGUUUUGCUAAAGACCUUUUCAUUGAAAAAUGGAUUUUCCUAGGAUAACUUAUUACAGCACCACUUUCCACAAGUAAAGCCUAUGUAUAGUAGCCCACAAAGUGCAGUUUUGUGGAUGUGUGUGUGUCAUUCUGGUGACAGUGUUUCUGGGACAACAUCUCAGCUCAAUGUACCUAUGAGCAUUUGCCUGGAAUUUCACUCCAAUUAAUAGUGAUAGAAGAGCGUUGCACUGGAAGACAAUGCACAUUCAUGGAGGAUUCUUCAAUAAAACCAUUUUCCAGGGGCAAAGCGCAUCCAGCUGUUUGGGGAGGACCACAAUAUAGAGCAGGGCGCAAUGCUUGUUGAACCUAUGGAACCUCUUGAAAUGGCUAGUUUUAUUUAGAAAGAAGAAAAACUUUAUCACAGAGCCUGUCCAAACUCCAACUGACCACUGUAAACUUAAAUCUCACUUCUGGAACACUUCAUGUUGGACAUGUGCAUGUCUUAAUUAGGCACAAUGUCACUGUAUCCAGAUUUAGAGACCCCCCCCCCCACCAUAUUAUUUCUUUUGGUUGUAAACCAAAAAGCAGACAAAAUUCUGCCCUGGGCUCUGAGAACACAUACAGGGAUGCGGUACUGCCACCUAGUGCAAGGGUAUAGGGCACAUAGUUCAAUGAAAUUACGACCAGAUACAUUUUGCUAGAGCAUCCAGCAACUUCCAUCUUCUACAGUGUUUCAGGUGAGGGAGUCAGGGGUCUGUGACUCAGGCUCCUUGCUGUAUCCACAGUACUCUGCAGGGUGCUGGUGGGGUCUCCACCAAGGAUGGCAUGCAGGUCGUUGUAAAAGCAGCAAGUCUGUGGCUCAGCACCAGAUCUGUUGGUGCGCUCCCUGGCCUUUUGGUGUGCCUGCUGCAGUUCAGGAACCUCAUUGCUUCAAAUCCACCCAUGAUGUCCUGCACAUUGCUUAGAGUCACAGAUAUGAUUAAUGGCUAUACACACUUACAUUACAACGGCAUGCACUGUGGAUUUUCCAAUUCCAAAAUGAUUGCCCGCUGAUCAGUGGCAAUCCGUAUUUGCAAGCUCUCACAGUGCAAUUGCCACUCACAUCCCCACCGUGCAGUUCUCAGUCUGGUGUCCAUGUGCUGGAAGGAACGUGGCCUUUCAUAUCCAGAAGUUUUGCAGCCAUUCCUUAUCAUCCAAAACCAGCAUUAUGAUGCAAUCCUUCCAGUCAGUGCUCAUUUCUCAGAGCCAGAAGCCGCACUCUACCAUCUGCAGCUGCUCUGGGAAUGCCACCAACAGCCUUGAAUUGUUUGUCACUAUGUCCCUUAGCAAUUUGUCCUCUAAAAAAUCAUCAGUAUCCCCCAUUGUUGAGGUGCUUCCUCCACCUCUACCAGAGGACUGUUCAUCCUGUGUUUGCAAUGUUCAUGAGAAUAGCAUAGAGUUAUGCAGGCUCCAUGAUGCUGUCAUAGUUAAUGAACAGUGAUGAGUGCCACAUGGUUUUGUGGGAUUUGAAAAAAAAAAGCUGUGAAAAUUAUGGAAUUGGGAUGGCAUCAGGGGAUGGAGAAAGAUGCAUGAUGGGAACUUGACCCCUGAUGCCCAGCCCACCUGCAUGACUCAUGUAUGUCUCCCUACGCACUGCAAAAAUUCCCCAAAUGUUAUUGCACUGGAGGGUGGCUCAUGGCACACUGUGAUACCUAGCCAUCAUGCACUGCACUUUGCAUCGACACAAGGCAGUCCUGGUGAGCAUGUGAAGCACUGACACAAGGUGCCAAGUAUGCAUGCACAUGAGUGAUAUACUAACCAUGGCAGCUUUUGAGUCACAGCCAGGAGAGAGAGUUCUCCAGGGAAAGAUACCUUCUGUCUCCCUCAUCCUUGGCCAAGUGAGCUAAGGGUUGUAACCUUGUAAAUACAGAGCUGCACAAGUUCCUAAAGGUGAUGGGGAGAACACUGUGUUUGACCAGAAGACGGUCUCCAAGCAGUUUGUGUCUAGAAAAGAGACAGGAAUGGGAUGAUGCUCUUUCAUAUGAGCAUUGCAAGCACAGGCACACAAUCCUCUGGUACUGGCAGAGUGACAAGAACAACUGCAUCAGCAGUAGAGGACAGAUGCUGUGGGACACAGUGAAAAACAAUCCAAGCUUGUUGGUGGUAUUCACAGGGCAGCUGCGGACAGUGGAGCACCACUUCUGUGCCCAAGAAAUAAAUGCUGACAGGUGAGAUUACAUCAUAAUGCAGGAUUGGAAUGAUGAGUUGAACUUCUGGAUGCUAAAAACCAUGUUCCUGGAUCUGUGAGCUCAUCCCAGGGCAGGGAGACCAGAAUGAGAACUGCACUGACAGUGGACAAGCGAGUGGUGAUUGCACUGUGGAAACUUGCAAUGCUGGAUUGCUACUGGUCUGUGGGUAAUCAAUGUGGAAUUGGAAAAUCCGCUGUUGGGGCUGUGGCACUGCCUGCUAGCCAGCUCAGAUCACAACCCCAAGGAAAAAAGAAAAGGAGGACUUGUGGCACCUUAGAGACUAACCAAUUUAUUUGAGCAUAAGCUCACGAAAGCUUAUGCUCAAAUAAAUUGGUUAGUCUCUAAGGUGCCACAAGUCCUCCUUUUCUUUUUGCGAAUACAGACUAACACGGCUGCUACUCUGAACCCCAAGGAAGUGUUAAGUGUACCAAUGCACUUGUUAGAACAGAACAAAAAGGGAUGUUAUCACGUUACCUGUACUUGGUGUGUGCCCAGUAAUUAUAUUUGCUUGAAAUGCAUGAAAGCUAAUGAAAUGAUAAAAAUUGUCUUCACCUAUCUGUUUCCUGUGAUAGCUAUCUUUGUACUUAAUUAACCUUAGAUCAAAGAUAUAUUAGGAUAAGAGUUUGCUUGAUGUCACAUUGUUCAUGAAAAUUAAUGACAUUGUCUGGAUGUCGGUAACUAAGGCUUUGUCUACACUACCGCUUUUGGUGGCAAAACUUUUGUUGGUCAGGGUGUGAAAAAACACCUCACUGAGCGACAUAAGUUUCACUGACAAAAGCACUGGUGUGGACAGUGCUAUGUCGGCGGGGGGCGUCUCUUGACAUAGCUACCGCUGCUUGUUGGGGGUGGGUUAAUUAUGCCGGUGGGAGAGCUCUCUCUCAGCAGCAUAGAGCGGCUGCCCAGGAGACCUUGCAAUGGUGCAGGUGCAGCUGUGCCUCUGUAAGGUCCGUAGUGUAGACAUAGCCUAAAUGUGUGAUGUAUGUCUCUGUAAUUGAAUGGCCCAUCAACUGCGGUUGAAGCCUUAGAACUUUAAAUAAGAAUAUUAACUUCAAAGCAUGGGUCAUUAUGUAAGACAAUGGAAGAUCCACAUAUUUUGUCUGCAUUUAGUCAACAAAGCAAGACCCAUGUGGUGAUGGAAUCGCUUGCCAGAUGGUUUUCAACUAUAAGAAGGGACCCUAGGAGCCUCUGCAGUUCUGAUCUAUUUGGAUGCUGUCAGGGGCUUUCCAGAUACAAGACAGAGGUCCCCAAAGCCAUUUUGGGCAUCCCUGAGAGACUGGUGGAGAACUACACGGAUACACCAUCUCUGCUUCGUUUUGGACUUACAAACUCUGAGAAACCUGUAAUGUAUAUUACCUGCUUUAACCUCUCAGUAGCUCAUUUCUUUUUCUUAGCUAAUACAUCUUUAGGUUAGUUUAAUAAAGAAAUUGUCUGUGAGCAUU